GUCAUGCUACACUAUACUGGGGUGAUGGGGGGGGGGUAAACAUGGUGGAGGUGCUCCGUCAUGCUACACUAUACUGGGGUGAUGGGGGGGGGUCAACAUGUUGGAGGUGCUCCGUCAUGCUACACUAUACUGGGGUGAUGGGGGGGUCAACAUGUUGGAGGUGCUCCGUCAUGCUACACUAUACUGGGGUGAUGGGGGGGUCAACAUGUUGGAGGUGCUCCGUCAUGCUACACUAUACUGGGGUGAUGGGGGGGGGUCAACAUGUUGGAGGUGCUCCGUCAUGCUACAC